rnacentral:rRNA from 1 species
GACGAACGCUGGCGGCGUGCUUAACACAUGCAAGUCGAACGGAAAGGCCCUGCAUUUGUGGGGUGCUCGAGUGGCGAACGGGUGAGUAACACGUGAGUAACCUGUCCUUGACUUUGGGAUAACUUCAGGAAACUGGGGCUCAUACCGGAUAGGAGCUCCUGCUGCAUGGUGGGGGUUGGAAAGUUUCGGCGGUUGGGGAUGGACUCGCGGCUUAUCAGCUUGUUGGUGGGGUAGUGGCUUACCAAGGCUUUGACGGGUAGCCGGCCUGAGAGGGUGACCGGCCACAUUGGGACGGAGAUACGGCCCAGACUCCUACGGGAGGCAGCAGUGGGGAAUAUUGCACAAUGGGCGGAAGCCUGAUGCAGCAACGCCGCGUGCGGGAUGACGGCCUUCGGGUUGUAAACCGCUUUCGCCUGUGACGAAGCGUUAGUGACGGUAAUGGGUAAAGAAGCACCGGCUAACUACGUG